GCGGGCGUAGUAUAGAGGUAAUACGUGAGCUUCCCAAGCUUGAGUCGAGGGUUCGAUUCCCUCCGCCCGCACCA
rnacentral:tRNA from 1 species